rnacentral:lncRNA from 1 species
CGCUAACAUUGGGAGUCAAAGACAGACUAUAUGCACUUAGGAAGGGCAGCUUCAGUACUCUCUGUGAAGCCCAGAAAACAACUCUACAUUGGGCUCAUCAAGAAAAUCCUGGGAACUCCAGGAAGGAGAGGAGUCGUGUGAGUCAUCUGCUUUAUUCCAUGUGGAGGACACUUGCGGUGACAUCUGAACUAGUCCUAUUUAAUAUCCGACUCAUCCAAGCUGUAACCGAAAUAAAAGCAUGCAGUGUGACAGCAAUGAGGCACAUCUGCUAGCCAGAACUAGCCAAGCCACUCAUUCA